rnacentral:lncRNA from 10 species
AGUAUCAAAUUGGUUUUCUUUGUUCAUAUACCUAGAUUUUCAUAUGGUCAAAAUACCCACGGAAUAUAUGAGUGGCAGCAGUAAACAGUCCUUGAAGUUCUUGGUUGUUUAACUUGACUGUUGGUGAUGCCCAGUGAGGCCCUGUCUGCUCCAAGCAAAUUACAUAAAAAAGAUGUGAACAAAAACUCAUCAAAUACUAACAGAGGCUUCCCUCUCCACUGGAAGUUGGAUGGUUGGUCUCUUGCUGCCUGGAAUCUUUGUGCAGAGUUUCUGAUCCUCAAUGUCACCCCAUUUCCCGAUGAGGAAUGGCUGGGCUCCCUCAACAGGGAAUUACACAUUCAAAAACUGUCAUCUCUCUGCGGUCUCUCUUGGAUGUUGAAGAUGAUUCAACCAGGAUGGCAAUAAUGUUAGGGGUCUCAGCCAGGGCUUCCUGUGGCUACUAUCAACAGUGAGGUUCACCAAAACAGUGGUCUUUUAAGGAUCUUGAUAUUUUUAAUGUCUCAGUUGGCUCCUGCUUCUUUUUUAAGGCUGACCACUCAGUGGGACUCCCAGCACCCUCCACCCGCAGAAGGUAAGUCAUGGGUCUCUGCUGAACCCUUGCACUUGUAUGCCUUUAUAUAAAUAUAUAAGGGAAACAGGUCUAUAUUACGCCAGGGUGUCAUACUCCUGCUUUUCUUCUGCUCUGUUCAGAAAAGGAAAGUUAUUAACCCAAAGGAAUGAGCCACUUAUUGGAAAUUU